rnacentral:miRNA from 1 species
GGUAGGCUGGUGACGAGGAGAGGGUUUUACCACCAACGCUUCUUUGGUGCCCUCAGCCUGCC